rnacentral:rRNA from 1 species
UGGGGAAUAUUGCACAAUGGGCGAAAGCCUGAUGCAGCAACGCCGCGUGAGCGAUGAAGGCCUUCGGGUCGUAAAGCUCUGUCCUCAAGGAAGAUAAUGACGGUACUUGAGGAGGAAGCCCCGGCUAACUACGUGCCAGCAGCCGCGGUAAUACGUAGGGGGCUAGCGUUAUCCGGAAUUACUGGGCGUAAAGGGUGCGUAGGUGGUUUCUUAAGUCAGAGGUGAAAGGCUACGGCUCAACCGUAGUAAGCCUUUGAAACUGAGAAACUUGAGUGCAGGAGAGGAGAGUAGAAUUCCUAGUGUAGCGGUGAAAUGCGUAGAUAUUAGGAGGAAUACCAGUUGCGAAGGCGGCUCUCUGGACUGUAACUGACACUGAGGCACGAAAGCGUGGGGAGCAAACAG